AUAGCAGAUUGGUUUGUCGCUUUAUCGGUAUAGAUAAAGAGGAAAGUCCGGGCAACGCAGAGCACCAUACUUCCUAACGGGAAGCUGCUCGCAAGAGCAGAUGAGUGUAACAGAAAAUAACCGUCAGUCAGCUGACUGAUAAGGGUGAAAAGGUGAGGUAAGAGCUUACCGGUAUUAUUGGCAACAAUAGUAGCCGUACACAUUAUGGGUUGCAAGAUCAUGUACACCGACGCAUGUAGGAUGACUCGUCCGAUGUCGGGGGGUAGAUCGCUUGAGGUAAAUGGUAACAUUUAUCCCAGAUAAAUGACAAACACAGUGCGCGAGCAUUGAACAGAACCCGGCUUACAAGUCUGCUUUUUUU
rnacentral:RNase_P_RNA from 1 species